GAUUUUUAACAGAAGAUCCUCACCUGAGACUUGGAGCUAGAGGGGCUGCUGAGGUCAAGCAGCACAUCUUCUUUAAAGACAUCAAUUGGGGUACACUAGCGAGGCAAAAGGCUGCAUUUGUUCCAGCUUCAGAGAGUGCAAUCGACACUAGUUACUUCAGAAGUCGCUACUCGUAGAACACAUCGGAUGAGCAAUUUUUCCCAUCAGGUGAGGUUCAAGAUUAUAGUGAUGCUGAUAGCUUG